rnacentral:rRNA from 1 species
GCGAAGAACCUUACCAAAUCUUGACAUCCUUUGACCGCUCUAGAGAUAGAGUCUUCCCCUUCGGGGGACAAAGUGACAGGUGGUGCAUGGUUGUCGUCAGCUCGUGUCGUGAGAUGUUGGGUUAAGUCCCGCAACGAGCGCAACCCUUAAGCUUAGUUGCCAUCAUUAAGUUGGGCACUCUAAGUUGACUGCCGGUGACAAACCGGAGGAAGGUGGGGAUGACGUCAAAUCAUCAUGCCCCUUAUGAUUUGGGCUACACACGUGCUACAAUGGACAAUACAAAGGGCAGCUAAACCGCGAGGUCAAGCAAAUCCCAUAAAGUUGUUCUCAGUUCGGAUUGUAGUCUGCAACUCGACUACAUGAAGCUGGAAUCGCUAGUAAUCGUAGAUCAGCA